UGGGGAAUAUUGGACAAUGGGGGCAACCCUGAUCCAGCCAUGCCGCGUGUGUGAAGAAGGCCUUUUGGUUGUAAAGCACUUUAAGCAGGGAGGAGAGGCUAAUGGUUAAUACCCAUUAGAUUAGACGUUACCUGCAGAAUAAGCACCGGCUAACUCUGUGCCAGCAGCCGCGGUAAUACAGAGGGUGCGAGCGUUAAUCGGAAUUACUGGGCGUAAAGCGAGUGUAGGUGGCUCAUUAAGUCACAUGUGAAAUCCCCGGGCUUAACCUGGGAACUGCAUGUGAUACUGGUGGUGCUAGAAUAUGUGAGAGGGAAGUAGAAUUCCAGGUGUAGCGGUGAAAUGCGUAGAGAUCUGGAGGAAUACCGAUGGCGAAGGCAGCUUCCUGGCAUAAUAUUGACACUGAGAUUCGAAAGCGUGGGUAGCAAACAGGAUUAGAUACCCUGGUAGUCCACGCCGUAAAACGAUGUCUACUAGCCGUUGGGGUCCUUGAGACUUUAGUGGCGCAGUUAACGCGAUAAGUAGACCGCCUGGGGAGUACGGCCGCAAGGUUAAAACUUAAAUGAAUUGC
rnacentral:rRNA from 1 species